AGAGUUUGAUCCUGGCUCAGGACGAACGCUGGCGGCAUGCCUAACACAUGCAAGUCGAACGGAGUUAUUAUUCAGAAGUUCUUCGGGAUGGAAGGAUAAGAACUUAGUGGCGGACGGGUGAGUAACGCGUGGGUAACCUGCCCUUUUGUGGGGAACAACUUCGAGAAAUCGGAGCUAAUACCGCAUAAUAAUAGAGGAUCGCAUGAUUCUUUAAGGAAAGAUGGCCUCUGAAGAUGCUAUCGCAAAAGGAUGGACCCGCGUCUGAUUAGCUAGUUGGAAGGGUAACGGCCUACCAAGGCAACGAUCAGUAGCCGGCCUGAGAGGGUGAACGGCCACAUUGGGACUGAGACACGGCCCAAACUCCUACGGGAGGCAGCAGUGGGGAAUCUUCCGCAAUGGGCGAAAGCCUGACGGAGCAAUGCCGCGUGAGUGAAGAAGGCCUUCGGGUUGUAAAACUCUGUCCUUAUCGAAGAGAGGUAGGUAUGUGAAUAAUGUACCUAUAGGACGGUAGAUAAGGAGGAAGCCCCGGCUAACUACGUGCCAGCAGCCGCGGUAAUACGUAGGGGGCGAGCGUUAUCCGGAUUCAUUGGGCGUAAAGCGCGCGUAGGCGGCCGCCUAAGCGGGACCUCUAACCCCGGGGCUCAACCCCGGGCCGGGUCCCGGACUGGGCGGCUCGAGUGCGGUAGAGGAGAGCGGAAUUCCCGGUGUAGCGGUGGAAUGCGCAGAUAUCGGGAAGAACACCGAUGGCGAAGGCAGCUCUCUGGGCCGUCACUGACGCUGAGGCGCGAAAGCUGGGGGAGCGAACAGGAUUAGAUACCCUGGUAGUCCCAGCCGUAAACGAUGGGCGCUAGGUGUGGGGGGACGAUCCCUCCGUGCCGCAGCCAACGCAUUAAGCGCCCCGCCUGGGGAGUACGGCCGCAAGGCUAAAACUCAAAGGAAUUGACGGGGGCCCGCACAAGCAGCGGAGCAUGUGGCUUAAUUCGAAGCAACGCGAAGAACCUUACCAGGGCUUGACAUGCGAGUGAAGCCGGGGAGACCCGGUGGCCGAGAGGAGCUCGCGCAGGUGGUGCAUGGCUGUCGUCAGCUCGUGUCGUGAGAUGUUGGGUU
rnacentral:rRNA from 1 species